AAACUUUCAACAAUGGAUCUCUUGGUUCUGGCAUCGAUGAAGAACGCAGCGAAAUGCGAUAAGUAAUGUGAAUUGCAGAAUUCCAGUGAAUCAUCGAAUCUUUGAACGCACAUUGCGCCCAUUAGUAUUCUAGUGGGCAUGCCUGUUCGAGCGUCAUUU
rnacentral:rRNA from 1 species